UACGUAGGAUGCAAGCGUUGUCCGGAAUUAUUGGGCGUAAAGAGCGCGCAGGCGGUAUGACAAGUCAGAUGUGAAAGAGGCCGGCUUAACCGGCAAGGGUCAUUUGAAACUGUCAGACUAGAGUGCAGCAGAGGAUAGUGGAAUUCCCGGUGUAGUGGUGAAAUGCGCAGAUAUCAGGAGGAACACCGGUGGCGAAGGCGGGUCUCUGGGCCGUUACUGACGCUGAGGAGCGAAAGCGUGGGGAGCGAACAGG
rnacentral:rRNA from 1 species